UUGAACGCUGGCGGCAUGCUUUACACAUGCAAGUCGAACGGCAGCGGGGGCUUCGGCCUGCCGGCGAGUGGCGAACGGGUGAGUAAUGCAUCGGAACGUACCCAGUCGUGGGGGAUAACUACGCGAAAGCGUGGCUAAUACCGCAUACGCCCUGAGGGGGAAAGCGGGGGACCUUCGGGCCUCGCGCGAUUGGAGCGGCUGAUGUCGGAUUAGCUGGCUGGUGGGGUAAAGGCCUACCAAGGCGACGAUCCGUAGCUGGUCUGAGAGGAUGAUCAGCCACACUGGGACUGAGACACGGCCCAGACUCCUACGGGAGGCAGCAGUGGGGAAUUUUGGACAAUGGGCGCAAGCCUGAUCCAGCCAUGCCGCGUGAGUGAAGAAGGCCUUCGGGUUGUAAAGCUCUUUCAGCAGGGAAGAAACGGUUACGGCUAAUACCCGUGACUAAUGACGGUACCUGCAGAAGAAGCACCGGCUAACUACGU
rnacentral:rRNA from 1 species